UUGUAAUAAAAUUAUUUUUAUAAAAUUUUAAAAGAAAUUUUAUUUUAUUAUUAAUUAGAAAAAUUAUUUUUUAUAAUAGGUUAUUAGUAAGGUUAUUGAAUUUUUUAACAAUAAAAAAGUAAAAUUUAUUAUUUGUACCUUGUGGAUCAGGGUUUAUUAAUUAAUAAUUAAUUAUUUAAUUUUCUCGAAUUUAUAAGAUUUAAUUAAUUAUUUAUUUAAAUGUUGAAUAAUUUUUUUAAAUAAUUAAUUAGAGGUGAAAUGUUAUUCGGUUAUAAAUAUAUCUAGUUUUUUAAGAAAAUAAUUUAAUUAUAUUAUUAAUUAGUAAGUUUUAUUUUUUAAUACUUAAUUUUUAGUAUUUAAUAUUUAAUGGGAUAAGCUUUUAAAUAGAUUUUUAUAAUAUGUAGAUAUUUUAUAUUAAGUAUAAUUUGAAUUGUUAAUCAUAAAUAAAUUAAUAUUUAAAUAUUUGAAUUAAAGAUUUUUUUUUAUUUAAUUUUUAUAUUAAAAAAAAUCAAGUAACUUAAAUUGUUUGAUAUAAUGAUAAAAUUAGUAAUAAUGAAUUAAUUUUAUAUAAUUUUUUAAGAUUAAAAUAAGGAACUCGGCAAAAUUAUUUUCUGCCUGUUUACUAAAAACAUGUCUUUUUGAUUUUAAUUUAAGGUUUAAUCUGCUCAAUGAUGAAUUUAAUAGCCGCAGUACUUUGACUGUGCAAAGGUAGCAUAAUAAUUAGUUAUUUAAUUAGUAACUGGAAUGAAUGAUUGGACAAGAAAAUUUCUGUCUCUUUUUAAUAAUUUUUUGAAUUUAAUUUUUAAGUUAAAAUGCUUAACUGUUUUUAAAAGACGAGAAGACCCCAUAGAGUUUUAUUUUUAUAAAUUUUAGUAUAAUAAUUUAAAUUAAAAAUUAGUUGGGGUGACUAAAAGAUAAAUUUAACUCUUUUAAUUAAAAAUCAUUGAUUUAUGAUUUAUAAUUCUAAUUUUUUUAAAUUUAAAUAAAAUUACCUUGGGGAUAACAGCGUAAUUUUUUUUUAGAGUUCUUAUCAAAUAAAGAGAUUGCGACCUCGAUGUUGGAUUAAAUUUUAUUUUGGGUGUAGAAGCUUAAAAAUUAAGUCUGUUCGACUUUUAAAAUUUUACAUGAUCUGAGUUUAAACCGGUGUAAGCCAGGUUGGUUUCUAUCUUUAUAAUAAUUAAAUAUUUUAGUACGAAAGGACCAAAUAUUAAAUAAAUUAUUUAGUUUUAAAUAAAAUU
rnacentral:rRNA from 1 species